GCCCCCCAACUCUUGAGUCUGAUUACGUAGUCUUCAUCGAACAAAAGGAGUUAACCAAUGUGCGAAUCCAAAUAGUAUCUUCUAAUGACCAUCCUCGGAAGCCGCGUGUAGCGGACUUGUUGUUUUGGGACAAGAGUCACCAUUCUGCGGAGCAUCUCAUCAAGUCCAAAGCAUGGCAGUUGAGUCAGAGCAUCGUUGUAUCUCCACUUCAUUUCGGAUCAACUGAUCCCUG
rnacentral:lncRNA from 1 species